rnacentral:rRNA from 1 species
GACGAACGCUGGCGGCGUGCUUAACACAUGCAAGUCGAACGGAAAGGCCCUGCUUUUGUGGGGUGCUCGAGUGGCGAACGGGUGAGUAACACGUGAGUAACCUGCCCUUGACUUUGGGAUAACUUCAGGAAACUGGGGCUAAUACCGGAUAGGAGCUCCUGCUGCAUGGUGGGGGUUGGAAAGUUUCGGCGGUUGGGGAUGGACUCGCGGCUUAUCAGCUUGUUGGUGGGGUAGUGGCUUACCAAGGCUUUGACGGGUAGCCGGCCUGAGAGGGUAACCGGCCACAUUGGGACUGGGAUACGGCCCAGACUACUACGGGAGGCAGCGGUGGGGAGUGUUGCACAAUGGGCGGGAGGCUGAUGCAACAACGCCGCGUGGGGGGAGACGGGCUGCGGGUUGGAAACCGCUUUCGCCUGUGACGGAGCGUGAGUGACGGUAAUGGGUGAAGAAGCACCGGCUAACUACGUG